AAUCCAGUAGUGACGGGAGAAGCUGAUUGCUCUGUCCCAGUUCAGCUCUUUGUAAUGGCUGGAGUCCUCGCAGGACGAGGCUUGAAGGAACACUGAGGCACCAGGCCCAAGGGAGAGCAUGUCCAGCAGGUCAAGAUGGGACAAAUCUGAAGUGAUUUGUGGAAGCAAACUACACUUGGAAUACCUGUGAGAAGCAUAAUAAGGAAGUACUCCUUUCUGAAAGAGAAUUGGAGAGGAUGAAUGAAGAAAGCAAGCAUGCAUGAGAAACUCCAGAAUCACCCUGAGUCUAGCUGCUCUCAGGACAGUAGGCACUGCCACCCAUCAGCCGUAUGACGUUGGUUCCAUCCUGACUCUACAAGACAUUGGCUUUCACAUCUUUGCCAUGAGAUGUGUGCACCCGUAAAAUAGCGGUUCCAUUUCAAGCGUCCUGCUAUACAAUAGCCCAUUGCUCCCUAUUGCCUGCAGAAGCAAAUUCAAACUCUUUAUGGGGGCAUGUGAACUCUCCUUGUUCUGGGCCCAUCCCAUCUGCCCUAUCCCUGCCCCUCUGUUCCACCCUCCCUGCCUGCCGCACACCCACCGGCCCUCACCCUCCGGGCACCAGGAGGUCGCACACCUCACUAUUCCACUGGGAACACCCUUCCCCCCUUCCUUCCCAGCUGGGUGAGCUCCUGCGGGGUCCAGCACAGCCCCCUGCUGUGACUGUCACCAUCUUCAGGUGUAAUUAUUUGUUUACAGGCCUCCCUCCACUAAACUGUGAACUCCCAGAACCAGUGAUGAAAUACUACCCCUUUUUAUAGCCUCUCCUCCCUUCGCCAUUUAGUGCUUGGCUCAUCAUAAGUGCUUAAAAAUGUUGGUUGAAGAUUUAAAGUAUUUCCUUUUUGGUAUAAUGAGCAGAAAGAAAAAAGGGGGGAUGUGGAGUAUGUUCUAUACCUUCCGGCCCCUUUGCUUUUCUGGACUAGAAAGGGGGCAUGGGGCCAGCACAUCUGAGGACACAGCCUUAAGCACAUUCCAUCAAUUACUGUAUCUAUCCCUAUUUGUGUCGGCGCGGGACUUGGCAAGGCUUUAAUUGCACGCAUGCACCUUCUGGGUAGAGACUGUGGCCUGGGAUCUCCUCUCCUGCAUCACUGCUGUUGCUGUGAUCCCGGCCUCCUCCUUCAGAGGACGCGGCGGCCUCCAUCUGCAGGCAGGCACAUGCGGUCAUUAAUCACUCCCACUACCUGAUUAAAGGAACACUCCAGACCAACUGGGGAAGAGAGAAAAAAAACUAUGCUAUAAAAAAGACUGAAUUAUAGAGUCCCUCUGCACCAAUACUUCCCAAUCAGGCAAUUUAUUGCAAACAAGCAAAAUCUCAUUCUCGGGCCAUUAACUAAAAUAGGAAAAUAUCAUCUUAAAUUUUAAAAAUAACAAGGACGCAUUAUAAUAAGUCCCCAGUCCUGGACAAGCGGAUGGGUACAUAGCAUGAUGGAAACCUCGAGAACUUGGAACAUGACUUUUUCUUUCCUGAAUCCUCUGACUUGGAGGCCACAGUCUGGGGUGUGACUCUAGCCUUCCUAACCGUUCCUUCCAUCUUUCAUCCUUUGGAUUUCCCAGUUGUGGUGUCCCCCAGUAAUCACAGGGUCAGGAGUGAAGCCAGGAAACCAAACGUCUUUUUCAAAAUGCAUAGUAAAUAAAUAAAUGGACUUGAUAUUUA